rnacentral:rRNA from 1 species
GACGAACGCUGGCGGCGUGCUUAACACAUGCAAGUCGAACGGAAAGGCCCUGCUUUUGUGGGGUGCUCGAGUGGCGAACGGGUGAGUAACACGUGAGUAACCUGCCCUUGACUUUGGGAUAACUUCAGGAAACUGGGGCUAAUACCGGAUAGGAGCUCCUGCUGCAUGGUGGGGGUUGGAAAGUUCCGGCGGUUGGGGAUGGACUCGCGGCUUAUCAGCUUGUUGGUGGGGUAGUGGCUUACCAAGGCUUUGACGGGUAGCCGGCCUGAGAGGGUGACCGGCCACAUUGGGACUGAGAUACGGCCCAGACUCCCACGGGAGGCAGCAGUGGGGAAUAUUGCACAAUGGGCGGAAGCCUGAUGCAGCAACGCCGCGUGCGGGACGACGGCCUUCGGGUUGUAAACCGCUUUCGCCUGUGACGAAGCGUGAGUGACGGUAAUGGGUAAAGAAGCACCGGCUAACUACGUGCCAGCAGCCGCGGUGAUACGUAGGGUGCGAGCGUUGUCCGGAUUUAUUGGGCGUAAAGGGCUCGUAGGUGGUUGAUCGCGUCGGAAGUGUAAUCUUGGGGCUUAACCCUGAGCGUGCUUUCGAUACGGGUUGACUUGAGGAAGGUAGGGGAGAAUGGAAUUCCUGGUGGAGCGGUGGAAUGCGCAGAUAUCAGGAGGAACACCAGUGGCGAAGGCGGUCCUCUGGGCCUUUCCUGACGCUGAGGAGCGAAAGCGUGGGGAGCGAACAGGCUUAGAUACCCUGGUAGUCCACGCUGUAAACGGUGGGUACUAGGUGUGGGGUCCAUUCCACGGGUUCCGUGCCGUAGCUAACGCUUUAAGUACCCCGCCUGGGGAGUACGGCCGCAAGGCUAAAACUCAAAGGAAUUGACGGGGCCCCGCACAAGCGGCGGAGCAUGCGGAUUAAUUCGAUGCAACGCGUAGAACCUUACCUGGGUUUGACAUGGAUCGGGAGUGCUCAGAGAUGGGUGUGCCUCUUUUGGGGUCGGUUCACAGGUGGUGCAUGCCUGUCGUCAGCUCGUGUCGUGAGAUGUUGGGUUAAGUCCCGCAACGAGCGCAACCCUUGUUCACUGUUGCCAGCACGUUAUGGUGGGGACUCAGUGGAGACCGCCGGGGUCAACUCGGAGGAAGGUGGGGAUGACGUCAAGUCCUCAUGCCCCUUAUGUCCAGGGCUUCACGCAUGCUACAAUGGCUGGUACAGAGAGUGGCGAGCCUGUGAGGGUGAGCGAAUCUCGGAAAGCCGGUCUCAGUUCGGAUUGGGGUCUGCAACUCGACCUCAUGAAGUCGGAGUCGCUAGUAAUCGCAGAUCAGCAACGCUGCGGUGAAUACGUUCCCGGGGCU